rnacentral:rRNA from 1 species
GACGAACGCUGGCGGCGUGCCUAACACAUGCAAGUCGAGCGAAGAAUUGGGAGCUUGCUCUUGAUUCUUAGCGGCGGACGGGUGAGUAACGCGUGAGCAACCUGCCUCGAACUGGGGGAUAACGCAUCGAAAGAUGUGCUAAUACCGCGUAAGACCACAGCACCACAUGGUGCAGGGGUCAAAGGAGCAAUCCGGUUUGAGAUGGGCUCGCGUCCGAUUAGCUAGUUGGCGGGAUAACAGCCCACCAAGGCGACGAUCGGUAGCCGACCUGAGAGGGUGAUCGGCCACAUUGGAACUGAGACACGGUCCAGACUCCUACGGGAGGCAGCAGUGGGGAAUAUUGGGCAAUGGGCGAAAGCCUGACCCAGCAACGCCGCGUGAGGGAAGAAGGGUUUCGGCUCGGUAAAACCUCUGUCCUAUGGGACGAAGAAGUGACGGUACCAUAGGAGGAAGCCCCGGCUAACUACGUG